AUUGAACGCUAGCGGCAGGCCUAACACAUGCAAGUCGAGCGGAAACGAUGGGAGCUUGCUCCCAGGCGUCGAGCGGCGGACGGGUGAGUAACGCGUAGGAAUCUGCCCAGUAGUGGGGGAUAACUCGGGGAAACUCGAGCUAAUACCGCAUACGCCCUACGGGGGAAAGGGGGGGAUCUUCGGACCUCUCGCUAUUGGAUGAGCCUGCGUCGGAUUAGCUUGUUGGUGGGGUAACGGCUCACCAAGGCGACGAUCCGUAACUGGCCUGAGAGGGUGGCCAGUCACACUGGGACUGAGACACGGCCCAGACUCCUACGGGAGGCAGCAGUGGGGAAUAUUGGACAAUGGGGGCAACCCUGAUCCAGCCAUGCCGCGUGUGUGAAGAAGGCCUUCGGGUUGUAAAGCACUUUAAGUCAGGAGGAAGGCCUGAUAAUUAAUACUUAUCAGGAUUGACGUUACUGACAGAAUAAGCACCGG
rnacentral:rRNA from 1 species